rnacentral:lncRNA from 1 species
CCAGAUAUUUCAUCACUUUUUGAAAGUCUAAUUAAAAUGAUAAUUCAUUUAUUACAAAGUACGAGAGAGAGGUAGCAAGAGUUAUAGCAGUUUUUUUAAUCAAAGCUGAAGUUAACCAAAUUUGAAAUGCAACAUGUUUAAGCUUGAAAGGCAAAGUAAGUUACUUGUAAUGCUGAGACACUUCCCAAACCAGCUUAUCCAUGAAAUGACAUUUCUUGUCAAAUCCCCAGCCUGGGUGGAUCUGCAUCAUAUUUCAGACCAAGCAUAAAUAAUUUUGAGCAUUACUCAUUUACAGAAAGAAUCAUAUCAUAUACUGCACAUAAAGCAUCCAAAACAAACAACAGGUUUUUAACCUUCCGAGUUCCAUUGUAGUUCGUUUCAACAUAAGAAAACUACUUUAAAUUGAAUAUAUAACCAGCUAAGCAGUGACCCUAACCAACCACUAAAUAUCUCAUUGUCCAUCAUUAAAUUCAAUCAUUUAGUUAAUACUUUCUUCUUUCUUCUGCUGUACAUAAUUUCUUUAAGUUAGUAAAUUGUUUAUUUCUUCCAAAGAGGUGACUGCAGCAGCCACACGAAUAACAAAAACAAAAAGUUACAAACAUACCAUUUUAUAUAUGAUGCCCACUGAAAUAACAAAUAAAAACAAAACUAGGUGAACUUUUAGAGCACUGCAAAAGAAUAAUCCAGGAAAUUUUCACAAGUCCUAACUUUUCAGUUAUAAUCAAUCUCUUGUGCGAAGAAAAUUGUUAGCACACAAUUUUAUGCUUGUAAUUUUAAUGAAGAAUCUGCAGUCAGAUGUGGAUAACAGAAGGAUUAUAAAUCAAUCCCAGGACAAGGAAAUUAAUGCCAAACUCAAGAAAACAAAAUCCUCAACACAUCAAUAUUUGGACAUUAGAUUUAUUCACCAUCUGCAUCAUCUCUAACAUAUGGCCCUGUAUCAUCUGAAGCAUCUGCAUCCAUGAAUCGACCAAGCCUUUCAUCCAUAUCCCUCCCUCUGUUCCUCUUCCUGUGCCUCGGCCAAGCCCACCCCUCUCUCUAAACCCUCUUCCUCUUCUAGUGCCACCUACAUCAUCCUCCCCUUGUGACAAAAAGUUCCGUGCAUUCCAUUUAUAAAAGGAACCGUCGUCUUCUAACUUGUUCUUUCUUAACCUUUUCUACAUGGAAGAGCUUCCAUCUACUAAAGUCCUAAAAAAACCAUUGUAACUUUUGUAUUAUAAAGGAUAAUGUUAGAGUUUUAUCAAAAAGGUCACGACCUCAUGUUCACAUAUUUUAUUGUUGUACUAAAAGAGAUAUGUGUAAGGUGUGCUUUUUUUCUUUUUUUUUAUCUCUGUUGUAUCUUUUCUUCAGUUGACAGUAUCAUAUCAAAUAUACUAACUUUGACGGUACCAAAUAUAAAAUAUACUAGUUUUUUACAGUAUCAUAUCAUAUAAAAAAAAAUGUCCAUAAUGAAUGAUGAAUCACUAAAUAUCACCUGAUAGAACUAGGAAACAAUGUCACUUAAUCUCAAAAAAGCAGUUCUUCAUACAAAUUAAUUAGACGUAGAUGCAGUCUCGAACUGUGAUUUCAUCAAACAUGACCAAGAUUCAAACCACACAUUACUAUUUAAAGUUCUCUACAUUGUUUACAGACAAGCAGUCAUGCAAAAAUACCAUAUGGAAGAAAUCAAAAUUCUGCAAGUUGUGGACGAACCCCUUAGACAUACAAACAUGGGCAGACUUAUACACUUGAAAAUUUGAAGUUCGAAAUGUAAUGUGUUGCAGCUGGGUCAGUCGGGCAUGUAAUGUAUGUUGAGUUAGUAUCCGAUCCAGUACAUUGGAUUCAAUGUCUUCAUCCUGAGGUCGUUUAAUAUUACCAUUCACAACUAUAAUCAAAGUCCAAACAGUGACAUAAUACUUACCUUCAACAGGAAAAAGAUUGUUCAUAUCACAGACAAACGACAAAUAUAUUAAGACAAACAAUCAACUACUUUAGACCAUUUAAAUCAACUACCUUAACUUUGAAGAACUGUAAACACUGCCUUGCCUUCCCUUGGACUUUUAACAUUUCUCAAGUACUUGGCAAUUCACGGUGAUACAGUGAUGGAGCGGGAAGGGGAAGAACGCAGAGAAAACUAGGAAAAUAAGAGCUGGGAAAGAGAUAUAACAGAAUAGAAAAAAAAAACAACUUUUUAGGAUAAAAAUAACA